rnacentral:rRNA from 1 species
GGUUCUUUGGUAUAAGUGUGUAUAGGAUCUAGCCUGCCCAAUGGUUUAUAAUUUAAUGGCCGCGGUAAUUUGACCGUGCAAAGGUAGCAUAAUCAUUAGUCCUUUAAUUGGGGUCUGGUAUGAAGGGUUGGACGAGGGAUAGUCUGUCUAUUAAUAAUUUUGUUUUGAAUUUUACUUUUUAGUGAAAAGGCUAGGAUUUUCUUGGGGGACGAUAAGACCCUAUAGAUCUUUACAUUGGACAAUUAAUAAAAGUUUGUGGGUGUGUUUUGUUGGGGCGACAGGAAGAUAUAACUAACUCUUGUAUGCAUGGGUUACUUUUAAGUAUGGUUUAUUGAUCCUUUAUAUUAAGAUUAUUAGAUUAAGUUACCUUAGGGAUAACAGCGUAAUCUCUYCUGAGAGUUCUUAUUGACGGGGAGGUUUGCGACCUCGAUGUUGGAUUAAGGUAUUUUUGUGGUGUAGCAGCUACAGUAAGGGGUCUGUUCGACCCUUAAUUCCUUACA